rnacentral:tRNA from 1 species
CUGGGUGUAGCGCAGCUUGGUAGCGCGCUUGACUGGGGGUCAAGAGGCCGGAGGUUCAAGUCCUCUCACUCAGACCA